GACGAACGCUGGCGGCGUGCUUAACACAUGCAAGUCGAACGGAAAGGCCCUGCUUUUGUGGGGUGCUCGAGUGGCGAACGGGUGAGUAACACGUGAGUAACCUGCCCUUGACUUUGGGAUAACUUCAGGAAACUGGGGCUAAUACCGGAUAGGAGCUCCUGCUGCAUGGUGGGGGUUGGAAAGUUUCGGCGGUUGGGGAUGGACUCGCGGCUUAUCAGCUUGUUGGUGGGGUAGUGGCUUACCAAGGCUUUGACGGGUAGCCGGCCUGAGAGGGUGACCGGCAACAUUGGGAAUGAGAUAGGGCCCGGACUCUGCCGGGGGGAGGAAGGGGGGAAUUGUGCACAAGGGGGGGAAGCCGGAUGCAGCAACGCCGGGUGCGGGAUGACGGCUUUGGGGUUGUAAACCGCUUUCGCCUGUGACGAAGGGGGAGUGAGGGAAAGGGGUAAAGAAGCCCCGGCAAACUAGGUC
rnacentral:rRNA from 1 species